GGAGCAACGCCGCGUGAGUGAAGAAGGGUUUCGGCUCGUAAAACUCUGUUGUUAAAGAAGAACAUAUCUGAGAGUAACUGUUCAGGUAUUGACGGUAUUUAACCAGAAAGCCACGGCUAACUACGUGCCAGCAGCCGCGGUAAUACGUAGGUGGCAAGCGUUGUCCGGAUUUAUUGGGCGUAAAGCGAGCGCAGGCGGUUUUUUAAGUCUGAUGUGAAAGCCUUCGGCUCAACCGAAGAAGUGCAUCGGAAACUGGGAAACUUGAGUGCAGAAGAGGACAGUGGAACUCCAUGUGUAGCGGUGAAAUGCGUAGAUAUAUGGAAGAACACCAGUGGCGAAGGCGGCUGUCUGGUCUGUAACUGACGCUGAGGCUCGAAAGUAUGGGUAGCAAACAGGAUUAGAUACCCUGGUAGUCCAUACCGUAAACGAUGAAUGCUAAGUGUUGGAGGGUUUCCGCCCUUCAGUGCUGCAGCUAACGCAUUAAGCAUUCCGCCUGGGGAGUACGGCCGCAAGGCUGAAACUCAAAGGAAUUGACGGGGGCCCGCACAAGCGGUGGAGCAUGUGGUUUAAUUCGAAGCUACGCGAAGAACCUUACCAGGUCUUGACAUACUAUGCAAAUCUAAGAGAUUAGACGUUCCCUUCGGGGACAUGGAUACAGGUGGUGCAUGGUUGUCGUCAGCUCGUGUCGUGAGAUGUUGGGUUAAGUCCCCGCAACGAGCGCAA
rnacentral:rRNA from 2 species